CAGAUCAAAUCGAUGACUAUAUCUGUUCGUUCGAGGGACUUGGUGACUUAACAAUGGACUCCUUAGCCAUCUUCAUAUUCUUGUGGGCCGUCUUGGCCCUAUUCUCCGUUUGGCUGUGCAAGCUGCUCUACCACAAGUAUCUGAAUAAGGGCGCCAAUGCCGCCGCCUCUACCGGCAGUGCCGGCAACAGUCGCCAGAGCAGCGUGGCUCCUGGUGCAGCUGGCAAGCCAGAGAAGCGACUGUCUGAGCCACGCGAUCUGCUGGCCACCAAGAGCAAAGUGGAGGACCUAUCGAAGCCACUAACCGGCGCGGCCGGGGGCGCUGCUGGCGGUGGUGCAGCGGGCCGCGGACGUUCCACAGCCUCGCCCAUGGGCGGCGCAGCGGCCGGAGCGCGUCGUCGAGUGGUGCGCCAGAGCUCUACGGGACCAGAGAACCGUAAGAAACGAUAUGUGCCGCCGCCCUCCAAUGUGGUGGGACCAGAAACGAGCUCCGUCACAUGGACCAGCCAGGUGUUUCGCUGGCUUUACAGCGAUCUAGUUAUAGUCAACGAACUGCUCAUGUCCUGGGUGAUAGCACUCAACGACACCUUGCGCAAAUCCGUCGAGGAGCAUGGUGUAGCAGUUGAGGUGGUGCGCGUACUGCCCGAUAGUCCAGCACCGGCUCUUAAUAAUAUAUUUUGCAAUUGCGAGGAGCAGAAUCCCGCUGAAAUGCUCAUCACCUUCGACUGCGAUGCGAUGCCGGUGCUGCAGGUGAAGACUUUUAGGCAGAAGUCGGGCAAGGUGGAGACCUCGCAUUACAAGGUCACCGUGUCCCGGUUCCGUGCACGCAUGUCCAUACCCAUCAACUACAAUACGCUUAAGGGUGAGAUGCGUGUGGAUGGCUAUCCGGACGUGCGCAUUACCAUGAACAGUGUGGGCGCCAUCAAGCCCAUGGAUCAGGAUGAGCAGCAGCUGCAGACAGUCAUCAGCGAUAUAUUGACGACGGCGCUGCGCGACACCGUCUAUCCGGUUGACUUCUCCAUCUACUCGACCUGUCCCCGCGCCGAAGUGGAGCCCCUCGAGUUGCCCGUAAUCUAUCCCGUGCACUAUGAUUCGCUGGCGCACAACAUGGAGCAUCUGGGCUCUGGCCUGCUGCGCGACGGCCAGCACAUGGUAUCGGGUCGUCGCCUGCUGGUGAAGAUCGUCAAGGGCGAGGGACUGAAGGAUGCGCACGAGCCCUAUGUGGUCAUCGAGAUGGACGAGCCGGCGCAGAAGAACCAGACGGGCACUCAGCGAGGCAGCAAACCCUACUGGGAUGAGCAUUUCCUAUUCGAACUCUCCCCACAAUCGGCUGAAAUACUGUUUGAGGUCUAUGAUCAUCCGGUGAUUGCAUCGGAUCCGCCCAAGUUCCUUGGCCUCGGCCUGGUCGGCAUCGACGAGCUGGCCGUGGGGCCCGCCUCCACGCAGGUGCUGCAGCUGCAGCCACGCCCCUACGAGACACAGCCCGUGACGGGCGCCAUCACCGUUGACUUUGUGUUCAUCGAGGGCGCCGAAAUACCAGCCCACGCCCGACCCAAUCGCCUGAAGGAAGCCCUGCGCCUCAGCACGCCCGCCAUCAAUGAGCACAUUCGCAACGGAGCCGACCUGGCCGACGCUGCGGUCCGUGCCCUGCAGGAUGGCACCCUCUCCGGCUCCACCGGCAAUGGCCAGCCCAGCAAGAGCACCCUUAUCAUACACAGCGUGCAGCGGAACUCGACCAAUCCACAUGCAUUUAAGGUCGAGCUGAACAAAGAUGGCCAGAUCGAGGUCACCGAGAGUGCCUCGCCCACGGAGCUCGAUCAGGUCGUCGCCCAGGCCUUCGAGCGUGCUGCCAACGAGGCUGCGGCCAACGCGAGCUCGAUCGAUCUGGUGGACAGCCCGGGCAGCGAAUCACCCAAUACAACAGGUAACACAGUUAACAGCAACGAGGAGACCACAGCCGAGUUUGGCCAGCCAAAUGCCGCCUCCUCGCCCAAUGGGAGUGGCUAUCACAACAACUACAGCCUGAAUGGCACCAACAAUCUGAAUGGCAGCGGCAGCGGCUACAACUCGAACAGUUUGACCCGCAAUGGCGGCUCUUCGCCAUUCCCAAGCCAGCAGCAGCAGCACCAGCAGCAGCAGCAGCAACAGCACUCGGGCUUGGAUCUGGGCGAUCGUGGUCGGAGCAAAAAACGUAAUUUCUUUGGCACCCUCAAGAAGCGUCUCAGUCGUUCUAAAACCCGCACCCUAUCGGCCGAUCAGCCCAAUAACAACAAUCAUAAUUCACAAUCAGCCAAUAAUACAGCAACAACAACAACAGGACUCACUCGAACAGCCACUGGAACCCUCAAUGGUGAUUCUUCCCGUUCAUUAUCUGUCGAUCGUGCCACUCUGUCUAAAAGCAAUUCACUUGGACCCCGCAUGGGCAUUGGUAACUCCAUCACCGACCACUCACGACGCUCUUCAAUUUCAGAAUCCUCAGCCAUCUCCGGGUUCUCCUCGGCUAGCAACAAGACCUACGUACACGAGGCGUCCACCUUGGUCCUGGAAACUGUGGAGAAUGGCGUUAAACGACAUUUCAUCGUCCCACUGGCCAUUGCACAGAGGCCUCGUUGGCGUCGCAAGGGCACCAAGCUGCACAUCUAUAACGAUCACACCUUCAUAGCCAAACAUCUGAGCGGUGGUGGCUUGCAGUGCUCGAUCUGCAUGAAGUCCAUACCCAGGCGGCCGGGCAAGCAGGGCUACGAGUGCCGCGACUGCCAGUUGAUAUGUCACAAGCAAUGUCACGUCCGUGCUCCACAGGCGUGUCCCAAUCCUACGGUGCUCUCCAUGGAACUGAUGCCGAUUGAUCAGUAAAGUUUUAAGCGCACAAAUAUAUAAAAAUAAAUGUUUUAUUAUAAUGAAGAAGAAAAGAGCAGCAACAGAAUUAAGUAAUUUAUAAUAAAAUAUACAUUUUGACGUCAAGAUCAGUUUAUGUUCAACAUUCACGCGAUAUAUACAUAUGUAUAGAGAGCAGGGAGAAUAUUUUUUUAGGCCAAUUGUUCAGAUCUUCCGUUAUCGUUCACUAAUUUUGGACAAUGGAACGAAACUAAAUCUAACUGCUGCGGAUCGUAGCAGGAAAUUAUAAGGAAACCUACAAUAA